rnacentral:rRNA from 1 species
UGGUGGAGUGAUUUGUCUGCUUAAUUGCGAUAACGAACGAGACCUUAACCUGCUAAAUAGCCAGGCUAGCUUUUGCUGGUCGCAGGCUUCUUAGAGGGACUAUCGGGUUCUAAACCGAUGGAAGUUUGAGGCAAUAACA